rnacentral:rRNA from 1 species
UGGGGAAUAUUGCACAAUGGGCGCAAGUCUGAUGCAGCCAUGCCGCGUGUGUGAAGAAGGCCUUCGGGUUGUAAAGCACUUUCAGCGGGGAGGAAGGCGAUAAGGUUAAUAACCUUGUCGAUUGACGUUACCCGCAGAAGAAGCACCUGCUAACUCCGUGCCAGCAGCCGCGGUAAUACGGAGGGUGCAAGCGUUAUUCGGAAUUACUGGGCGUAAAGCGCACGCAGGCGGUCUGUCAAGUCGGAUGUGAAAUACCCUGGCUUAACCUGGGAACUGCAUUCGAAACUGGCAGGCUAGAGUCUUGUAGAGGGGGGUAGAAUUCCAGGUGUAGCGGUGAAAUGCGUAGAGAUCUGGAGGAAUACCGGUGGCGACGGCGGCCCCCUGGACAAAGACUGACGCUCAGGUGCGAAAGCGUGGGGAGCAAACAGG